AAGGGUGAUAACUCUUUUAGAAUUUGUCUACCAGGUCUUCUGGCUUUCCUUGGAAACCAA
rnacentral:snRNA from 1 species